rnacentral:rRNA from 1 species
ACGGGUGCGUAACGCGUGGGAAUCUGCCCUUAGGUUCGGAAUAACAGCUGGAAACGGCUGCUAAUACCGGAUGAUGACGAAAGUCCAAAGAUUUAUCGCCUGAGGAUGAGCCCGCGUUGGAUUAGGUAGUUGGUGGGGUAAAGGCCUACCAAGCCGACGAUCCAUAGCUGGUCUGAGAGGAUGAUCAGCCACACUGGGACUGAGACACGGCCCAGACUCCUACGGGAGGCAGCAGUGGGGAAUAUUGGACAAUGGGCGAAAGCCUGAUCCAGCAAUGCCGCGUGAGUGAUGAAGGCCCUAGGGUUGUAAAGCUCUUUUACCCGGGAAGAUAAUGACUGUACCGGGAGAAUAAGCCCCGGCUAACUCCGUGCCAGCAGCCGCGGUAAUACGGAGGGGGCUAGCGUUGUUCGGAAUUACUGGGCGUAAAGCGCACGUAGGCGGCUUUGUAAGUCAGAGGUGAAAGCCUGGAGCUCAACUCCAGAACUGCCUUUGAGACUGCAUCGCUUGAAUCCAGGAGAGGUCAGUGGAAUUCCGAGUGUAGAGGUGAAAUUCGUAGA